AGCGAACGCUGGCGGCAGGCUUAACACAUGCAAGUCGAACGGGCAUCUUCGGAUGUCAGUGGCAGACGGGUGAGUAACACGUGGGAACGUACCCUUCGGUUCGGAAUAACUCAGGGAAACUUGAGCUAAUACCGGAUACGCCCUUUUGGGGAAAGGUUUAAUGCCGAAGGAUCGGCCCGCGUUUGCUUUGCUUGUUGGUGGGGUAACGGCCUACCAAGGCGACGAUCAGUAGCUGGUCUGAGAGGAUGAUCAGCCACACUGGGACUGGGACACGGCCCAGACUCCUACGGGAGGCAGGAGUUGGGAAUAUUGGACAAUGGGCGCAAGCCUGAACCAGCCAUGCCGCGGGAGUGAAGAAGGCCUUAGGGUUGUAAAGCUCUUUUGUCCGUGACGAUAAUGACGAUACCGUAAGAAUAAGCCCCGGCUGACUUCGUG
rnacentral:rRNA from 1 species